rnacentral:rRNA from 1 species
CCUGGCUCAGGAUGAACGCUAGCGGCAGGCUUAACACAUGCAAGUCGAGGGGCAGCGCGUUGUAGCAAUACGAUGGCGGCGACCGGCGAAAGGGUGCGUAACGCGUGAGCAACCUGCCCGUAUCCGGGACAUAAGCGGUGGAAACGCCGUCUAAUUUCCCAUAACAACGAGGGCCGCAUGGUCCAUGUUUGAAAGAUGCGUCGGAUACGGAUGGGCUCGCGAGACAUUAGCUAGUCGGCGUGGUAACGGCACACCGAGGCGACGAUCAGUAGGGGUUCUGAGAGGAAGGUCCCCCACAUUGGAACUGAGACACGGUCCAAACUCCUACGGGAGGCAGCAGUGAGGAAUAUUGGUCAAUGGCCGAGAGGCUGAACCAGCCAAGUAGCGUGCAGGAAGACGGCCCUAUGGGUUGUAAACUGCUUUUAUGCGGGGAUAAAGUGCGGCACGUGUGCCGCUUUGCAGGUACCGCAUGAAUAAGGACCGGCUAAUUCCGUGCC